rnacentral:lncRNA from 1 species
AGGAUGCCAAACCCACCUCACUUAUUCCAGUGACUCCAGCUGCAACGGAUGGCUUCCAAACAUUUGACCUGGAACCGACCCAGUUCUCGCUUCUGGCUGGACCCCCUGGACUAAAGGGAGAACCAGGACUGCCGGGCCUUCAAGGACUUCCAGGGUUGCCAGGAAAGUCAGGGAAGAGGGGCCCAAGGGGUCCUUCUGGCCCACAUGGAAACCCUGGUCUUCCCGGACCUCCUGGAGUGAAGGGACAAAAAGGAGAUUAUGGACUGUCACCUGGUCAAGCCCCAAAAGG